AGAAAGUGACAUUCUUAAAAGUAAAAAGUUCACACUUUUACAUAUACAUAUAGAAGACCAAAAUUCUACAUGAACAAGAUAGCCUUCUCUAUUCACCUUUCACCUUGUUAACAAUGUACCUACCUCAAGCAUGGUUGAGUCCAUUGGUGUUUUUAACUUGUUGAUCCUCCGAAACGAUCUUCUUCCAGAACCAAUGCUUUUCCCAAAGACGCAUCAUCUCUUCAAUCGGAACUCCCUUCGUUUCAGGCAAGAACAGAUAGAUGAAUAUCGUCAUGACAGCAAUCCAACAGGAGAAAAACAGGAAAAUCCCGAACCUCAUAGCACAUAAAAGUGAGAGGAAAGACUGUGCUAUCGCAAAUGUGAAGAACAAAUUCACAGUAACUGUGAUACUUUGGCCUGCUGAUCUCGUCUCUAAAGGGAAAAUUUCACUUGGCACGGUCCAUCCAAGAGGCCCCCAUGAGUAUCCAAACGCCGCUACAA
rnacentral:misc_RNA from 1 species